GACAGAGGUGCCAAGCGUUAGGCGGAAUCACUGGGCUUAAAGGGUGCGUAGGCUGCGCGGAAAGUUGGGUGUGAAAUCCCUCGGCUCAACCGAGGAACUGCGCCCAAAACUGCCGUGCUCGAGGGAGACAGAGGUGAGCGGAACUUAGGGUGGAGCGGUGAAAUGCGUUGAUAUCCUAAGGAACACCGGUGGCGAAAGCGGCUCACUGGGUCUCUUCUGACGCUGAGGCACGAAAGCUAGGGUAGCGAACGGG
rnacentral:rRNA from 1 species